rnacentral:rRNA from 1 species
CCUACGGGCGGCAGCAGUGGGGAAUAUUGCACAAUGGGCGAAAGCCUGAUGCAGCAACGCCGCGUGAGUGAUGAAGGCCUUCGGGUUGUAAAGCUCUGUCUUUUGGGACGAUAAUGACGGUACCAAAGGAGGAAGCCACGGCUAACUACGUGCCAGCAGCCGCGGUAAUACGUAGGUGGCAAGCGUUGUCCGGAUUUACUGGGCGUAAAGGAUGCGUAGGCGGAUUUUUAAGUCAGAUGUGAAAUACCCGAGCUUAACUUGGGUGUUGCAGUUGAAACUGGAAGGCUAGAGUGCGGGAGAGGAGAGUGGAAUUCCUAGUGUAGCGGUGAAAUGCGUAGAGAUUAGGAAGAACACCAGUGGCGAAGGCGACUCUCUGGACCGUAACUGACGCUGAGGCAUGAAAGCGUGGGUAGCAAACAGGAUUAGAUACCCCAGUAGUC